CAGGUCCGCUGUGUUACACAGAAACCUGGUAUGGACUCUUCUCCCUUCUGACCACAGCCGAGACUCAGAGGGACCUGCGUGUCUCUAGGAGGGAUUAUCAGUGGACAUCUCUGAAUCUCUCCAUCUGGACCCUCAGUCAGACUUCUGGAAGACCGCCUUCCCUUCACAGGGGCUUCACUCUUAUUUUAAGACGGGUCGCAGUGUUUGAAAAGCUCAACAAUUUGCCACUUCGUUAGUCGGUUACCGGAAGCUACAAUGUACUCGAUUCGCC
rnacentral:lncRNA from 1 species